rnacentral:lncRNA from 1 species
GUUUUUAGCUCGUUUUCAAUAUAAAACAGAUAAUUUAAAAUAAAUAAAAAAUAGAUAGAUAAUUCAGCCAUUAUAAACAAAUAAAAAAAAACCAGCUAUUGAUUUGUAUAAGAUAAACAUAAAGAAGAAUCAAAUAGUGGUGAAAUUUGAUAAUAAUGAUUUCUUCAGAAAAUUAAAGAUCAUUUGAAAUUCAAUUUAUUUCUAGUUCUUCCACCAGGUUCAUUAUGCUUAUCCAAAGCUCUGAUUUUACAAAAAAAAUUCGAAUCAGUACUCCAUUGCAUAAAUAACCAAAAUAAGUAUAAUAAGAGGUUAAGAAUAAACUUUCUCACAAGGAAACUUUCACUUUAUUUCCCAUAUUUGCAAUAUGAAUAUGUUCUAGGUACAAUGAAUUGAACCAGAGACGAGCAUACAUUGAGUAAUUGAGGAGAAAUUCGAUCGAAUUCUCAUAAAAAGAAAAAGAAUUGAAGAGAUCAAGAGAAGAUAAAAAUAACCUAGAAAUUAAAAAAAAUUAUCGAAAUUAUCUCAAGUGAUUUGCAAGUGGAGAGUUAUAAAUUGAAGAAUAUGAUUGCAAUUUACAAAUUGAACAAGAUGAGGGCAGAGAAUAGAGAAGAAGAUGGAGACGGCUA